UUCCGUAGGUGAACCUGCGGAAGGAUCAUUAUUGAAUACCACUUGAUGGGUUGUAGCUGGCUCUCUGGAGCAUGUGCACGCCUGUCAUGGAUUCUAUUCAUCCACCUGUGCACCAUUUGUAGUCUUUGAGGGACAAGGGGAAACAACUAUUCAUUUGUUAGCUCAAUGAGCUGGCAUAAGGGGAUUGCAUAUACUACUAGUAGCUGUACUGCUCUCUUCAACAAGUUGUGAAACCUCCCUUCUGAAGUCUAUGUUUUAUUACUCAUAAACGAAUGUUAUUGAAUGUGUAUAUCAUGGCCUUUGUGCCUAUAAAAUCUUAUACAACUUUCAGCAACGGAUCUCUUGGCUCUCGCAUCGAUGAAGAACGCAGCGAAAUGCGAUAAGUAAUGUGAAUUGCAGAAUUCAGUGAAUCAUCGAAUCUUUGAACGCACCUUGCGCUCCUUGGUAUUCCGAGGAGCAUGCCUGUUUGAGUGUCAGUUUAUUCUCAAUCUACCUGGCUUUUGUAGCUGGGGUAGCUUGGAUGUGGAGGUUUUUGCUGGCCCUUUUGAGGUGUCAGCUCCUCUGAAAUACAUUAGCGGAACCGUUUGCAAACCCGUUGACUAGUAUGAUAAAUAUCUAUGCUAGUGGGAUUGCUCUCAGUUUGUUCAGCUUCUAAUAGUUUCCAACUUUGGGAAACACAACUGUAAUGAACCUUUGACCUCAAAUCAGGUAGGACUACCCGCUGAACUUAAGCAUAUCAAUAAGCGGAGGAAAAGAAACUAACAAGGAUUCCCCUA
rnacentral:rRNA from 1 species